AAAAAAAAACACAUGAGUAACCUGCCCUUGACUUUGGGAUAACUUCAGGAAACUGGGGCGAAUACGGGAUAGGAGCUCCUGCUGCAUGGGGGGGGUUGGAAAGUUUCGGCGGUUGGGGAUGGACUCGCGGCUUAUCAGCGUGUUGGUGGGGUAGUGGUUUACCAAGGCUGUGACGGGUAGCCGGCCUGCGAGGGUGACCGGGCACAAUGGGACUAAGAUACGGCCCAGACGCCAACGGUGGGCAGCAGUGGGGAAUCUUGCACAAUGGGCGGAAGUCUGUUACAGCGUCGCUUUUUUUUUUAAGUAGUCCGGCGACCACUGAACUCCUCACUCGUU
rnacentral:rRNA from 1 species